GAUCCUAUAGCUCAGCGGUAGAGCGUGUGAUUCCAGCCACGGAAAUUCCACAAGGUCUUCCGUUCAAUCCGGGAUAGGAUCA
rfam:Cylindrobasidium torrendii FP15055 ss-10 unplaced genomic scaffold CYLTOscaffold_445, whole genome shotgun sequence.